rnacentral:rRNA from 1 species
UGCCAGCAGCCGCGGUAAUUCCAGCUCCAAUAGCGUAUAUUAAGUUGUUGCAGUUAAAAGCUCGUAGUUGAAUUUCGGGAUCUGUCCAUUGGUCGGGCUUUACGGUCCGUACUGGUGUGAUGGGUUCCUACCUUCUGAAUAACCAGCAUGCCAUUUAGUUGGUGCGCCGGGAAGCAGAGCUAUUACCUUGAAAAAUUAGAGUGCUUAAAGCAGGCUAUUUGCUUGAAUAGAUUAGCAUGGAAUAAUAAAAUAGGACGGUGGUCCUGUUUUGUUGGUUUCUGAAUCACCGUAAUGAUUAAUAGGGAUAGUUGGGGGCAUUAGUAUUCAAUUGUCAGAGGUGAAAUUCUUGGAUUUAUUGAAGACUAACUACUGCGAAAGCAUUUGCCAAGGAUGUUUUCAUUAAUCAAGAACGAAAGUUAGGGGAUCGAAGACGAUCAGAUACCGUCGUAGUCUUAACCAUAAACUAUGCCGACUAGGGAUCGGACGAUGUUAAUUUUUUAAUGACUCGUUCGGCGCCUUACG